UAAUCUUCGUAGAAGAAAUAUGAAAGAUAUGCUAGGAAUGUUUAGCGAUACAUUUUACCAAAAAUCGCUGCGAUUCCAAGAAUUCAUAUUUAUUUUGAAACGCUACUGGGAUGUCUGCAAUGAAAUGGGAAACA
rfam:Brucella melitensis biovar Abortus 2308 chromosome I, complete sequence, strain 2308